UGAAGAUCAGAAAGGGAAAUGUUGUUGUCAUUUUUAAUAUUAGGCCAAGAGGUCAUGGCAAUAUAUUCCACUCUGCAUCCAUCGCUGACUUCAGAUGCACUCAUUUCUCCAAUCUUUAAAUAAGUGUUUCUGCUUAAUUUGCAGCCACUAAUUUCCACAAAUGUCGAGUUAUUAACAGCAAAUGACAGUUGAAUAUGAAGAUAGGCUCUGCUACUCUUUUAGUACUACUCUGUGAUCCAUUAUUAGUGUAAUUAUCAUAUGGAUGAAAACGCAAACUAUUCAUGUAUUGUUGAAGGCUGGUAAGCUGAGGUAAUAGAGAGCAUAAAUCUUGUGUUUGUAAAGUUAGAUCUACGACGUGAAUUGUGUGAUUAACAUAGUUGAUGGCUUGAACGUGCAACUUCUUGGAGAAUAACCAUAUAACCGUUUGGUUACCUUCACAAGCUAAUUCAUAUUCUGGAAAUCUCAUUGCACCGGUAUUUGAGCCAAAAAGGUAUUGAUAUUUUGGAUCGGUAUUUAAACGAAAAGGUUAUCUUAUGUCAGGGAUAUUUCCACAAGCAGAACGGACAUAGUAGUGAAAUUCGAUCUUCCUAGCAUAGCAUGUUUCAGAAAUCUUCAGAAAGAUGAUCAAGAUUAUUGUUAUACAUUUUAGAAGAGAGGUUCCUCUAGACAUAUCAAAGAGGUUAACUGCUGAUUAAAAGGAUGAGCUUUCUUA
rnacentral:lncRNA from 1 species